rnacentral:rRNA from 1 species
GACGAACGCUGGCGGCGUGCCUAACACAUGCAAGUCGAACGAAGAGCGAUGGAAGCUUGCUUCUAUCAAUCUUAGUGGCGAACGGGUGAGUAACGCGUAAUCAACCUGCCCUUCAGAGGGGGACAACAGUUGGAAACGACUGCUAAUACCGCAUACGAUCUAAUCUCGGCAUCGAGGAUAGAUGAAAGGUGGCCUCUACAUGUAAGCUAUCACUGAAGGAGGGGAUUGCGUCUGAUUAGCUAGUUGGAGGGGUAACGGCCCACCAAGGCGAUGAUCAGUAGCCGGUCUGAGAGGAUGAACGGCCACAUUGGGACUGAGACACGGCCCAGACUCCUACGGGAGGCAGCAGUGGGGAAUCUUCCGCAAUGGACGAAAGUCUGACGGAGCAACGCCGCGUGAGUGAUGACGGCCUUCGGGUUGUAAAGCUCUGUUAAUCGGGACGAAAGGCCUUCUUGCGAAUAGUGAGAAGGAUUGACGGUACCGGAAUAGAAAGCCACGGCUAACUACGUG